rnacentral:rRNA from 1 species
GACGAACGCUGGCGGCGUGCUUAACACAUGCAAGUCGAACGGAAAGGCCCUGCUUUUGUGGGGUGCUCGAGUGGCGAACGGGUGAGUAACACGUGAGUAACCUGCCCUUGACUUUGGGAUAACUUCAGGAAACUGGGGCUAAUACCGGAUAGGAGCUCCUGCUGCAUGGUGGGGGUUGGAAAGUUUCGGCGGUUGGGGAUGGUCUCGCGGCUUAUCAGCUUGUUGGUGGGGUAGUGGCUUACCAAGGCUUUGACGGGUAGCCGGCCUGAGAGGGUGACCGGACACGUGGGGGAGGCGCUCGGGGGCCGUGUGCGAGAGGGGGAGGGAGGGGGAGAGACGAGACGCGGGGCGGAAGCGUGUGGGAGCGACGGGUUGGACGGGGGGACGGCGUGGGAGUUGAGAACGGCCUGUGGGUGGGACGAGGGGGGGGUGAGGAUAAUGGGAAAAGAAGGACAGGCAAACUGCGUGCCAGCGGCCGGGAGAGUAAUCGGAACAGCAGCCGGCUGAAC